CUCUAGUUAUCCAAAGAGCAGAGACAGCAUGGGCAACGGCAGAGCAAGCUUCCCCCAUGCUGUCACCACAGUGGGCCUCAAUCCCAACACAGAAGGACUUCUCAAAAGAAAAAAAAGUCUUUAGAAAACAGAG
rnacentral:sRNA from 1 species